rnacentral:rRNA from 1 species
UGAAGCGCGAUUUCGCCCUACAAUCCGAACCUGGCUAGAAUGAAGCUGGUGGAUCCAAACAUGCAAUCGAGCGGCAUCGGGAAAAGGAACUUUCGCCGGCAGCGGCGGACGGGUCGUAACGCGUGGGAAUUGCCCUUUUGUGGGGGAUAAAGCUGGAUCGGCUGCUAAUACCGCAUGUCGCCUUAGGGUGAAGGUGGCUCGCAAGAGCUGCCGCUGGAGGAUGAGCCCGCGUUGGAUUAGCUAGUUGGUUAGGUAAUGGCUGACCAAGGCUGUGAUCCAUAGCUGUUCUGAGAGGAAGAUCAGCCACACUGGGACUGAGACACGGCCCAGACUCCUGCGGGAGGCAGCAGUGGGGAUUAUUGGACAAUGGGGGAAACCCUGAUCCAGCAAUACCAUGUGUGUGAAGAAGGCCUUAGGGUUGUAAAAGCACUUUAGUUGGGGAAAAAAGGUGUUUGGAAGCGAAUAACUCCCAGCAUUUUGACGUUACCCCAAAGAAAUAAGCACCGGCUAAACUCCCGUGCCCAGCAGCCCGCGGUAAUACGGUAGGUGCGAAGCGUUAAUCGGAAUUACUGGGCGUAAAGGGUCCGUAGGUGGCUGGAUCAGUCGGGUGUGAAAUACCUGGGCUCAACCUGGGGGGUGCGCUCGAUACUAUCCCGGCUUGAGUGUGGCAGAGGAUCGGGGAAUUUCCGGUGUAGCAGUGAAAUGCGUAGAGAUCGGAAGGAACAUCAAUGGCGAAGGCAACGAUCUGGGCACACACUGACACUGAGGGACGAAAGCAUGGGGAGCAAACAGGAUUAGAUACCCUGGUAGUCCAUGCCGUAAACGAUGAGUACUAGCUGUUUGAUCUGGUGUAAAAGAUGAAGUGGCGUAGCUAACGCACUAAGUACUCCGCCUGGGGAUUACGGCCGCAAGGCUAAAACUCAAAGGAAUUGACGGGGACCCGCACAAGCGGUGGAGCAUGUGGUUUAAUUCGAUGCAACGCGAAGAACCUUACCACCCCUUGACAUCCACAGAACCUUUCAGAAAUGAGAGGGUGCCUUCGGGAACUGUGAGACAGGUGCUGCAUGGCUGUCGUCAGCUCGUGUUGUGAAAUGUUGGGUUAAGUCCCGCAACGAGCGCAACCCUCGUUUUCAGUUGCCAUCAUUAAGUUGGGCACUCUGGAGAGACUGCCGUUGAUAAGACGGAGGAAGGUGGGGAUGACGUCAAGUCAUCAUGGCCCUUACGGGGUGGGCUACACACGUGCUACAAUGGGCGUUACAGAGGGCAGCAACGGGGCGACCCCGAGCGAAACCCACAAAGGCGCUCACAGUCCGGAUUGAAGUCUGCAACUCGACUUCAUGAAGUCGGAAUCGCUAGUAAUCGCGGAUCAGAACGCCGCGGUGAAUACGUUCCCGGGUCU